rnacentral:lncRNA from 1 species
AAUUGCCCUGAUGUGAUCACACCCAUUAUGGAAAGUGACAGCUCUGACCCUACCAAGUCACCCUAAACUGACCGAAAGACAAGGCAGGAGACCAAGCACCACCACUCCCCGAGCCAGCCAAAUUCAUGCCUUCUCCAGUCCCUUUUACAGCCUCGGAGGACAUCAAGGCUGUCUAACAGACAGGAUUCACUGCUUUUUGUCUUUUAUUCCUUGCCAGGUGUGGCCCAGCUCUGUGCUCACUGCGGCAGGUGAGCAGCCCAGCCACGCUGCCAGCAGGAUCAGUACUGGAGGUAAUACUAGCCUCGGGCCAGACUGCUUCAUUAAGAGAGAUUUUGACAGCCCAGCAGCAAGAGCAGCAGCAGAGAGGGCACACGAGGGUCUUCAGGGGCGGAGGGUUGGGAAGGAGGACACUGGAAAGGGCUUUGCCUCUCAAAAAGGGCUUCCUCGGGAACUGCUGGGCUGUGCCCUUUUUAAUCCCAUUGAUACAGAAGGCUGCCACUUACACUGAAUUCUUGGGGUGAAAAAGGAGCCCCCUAGAACUCACUACGAGGUAUUUUGUGUCUUUGUUGGAAGUAGGGUUAGGGUAGCAUGAGGUUACACAACAAACCAGAGCUGUCAAUUGCAUACAUCCCUACCUCCUGCAGGCAGCUUGGCUGCUUCCAAGAGAACAGCCCAGGACAGUCAGUGUGGGUUAAAAAACUCUUCCCAUCCAAGUCUUUUCAUGAAAUACCUCUUCCAAAUCACCUUCCCUGCAAGUACCCCGUAUAGCAGAGCACCAGUGAGACCAAUCUACGUAGUUCAAUACAGAGGACAUGGCACCAGAAAACCUAACGGAAUAAAAGUACCGAUUCAUCUCCCUUCCUCAGUGGUUGGGGUUCAGAAAUCGGUGUUGUGUAGUCAAUGCCCUAGUAAUUACGGGAUUAGCAUACAUCACCUCUCCGCUAGCACAGCCGCACCCCACCAGACAGCUGUGGAACUUCCACCGGGAACAUUUCGGAACAAUUAUUGUUACAGCACUGUAAAACUUUACGUACGCAAAGGUCCUAGGCUGGGUGAUGUCUAUAUUGCAGUUUCAGAUAUGACUGCAAGCGUCCAUCUGCGGUAG